CCUACGGGAGGCAGCAGUGAGGAAUAUUGGUCAAUGGACGAGAGUCUGAACCAGCCACGUAGCGUGAAGGAUGACUGCCCUAUGGUUUGUACACUUCUUUUAUAAAGGAAUAAAACGAGGCACGUGUGCCUUUUUGCAUUUACUUUAUGAAUAUGGAUCGGCGAACUCCGUGCCAGCAGCCGCGGGAAUACGGAGGAUCCGAGCGUUAUCCGGAUUUAUUGGGUUUAAAGGGAAUGUAGAUGGGUUGUUAAGUCAGUUGUGAAAGUUUGCGGCUCAACCGUAAAAUUGCAAUUGAUACUGGCAGUCUUGAGUACAGUUGAGGUAAGCGGAAUUCGUGGUGUAGCGGUGAAAUGCUUAGAUAUCACGAAGAACACCGAUUGCGAAGGCAGCUUACUAAACUGUGACUGACAUUGAUGCUCGAAAGUGUGGGUAUCAAACAGGAUUAGAUACCCGAGUAGUC
rnacentral:rRNA from 1 species